rnacentral:rRNA from 1 species
UGGGGAAUUUUGGACAAUGGGCGAAAGCCUGAUCCAGCAAUGCCGCGUGUGUGAAGAAGGCCUUCGGGUUGUAAAGCACUUUUGUCCGGAAAGAAAUCCGUCUGGCUAAUACCCGGACGGGAUGACGGUACCGGAAGAAUAAGCACCGGCUAACUACGUGCCAGCAGCCGCGGUAAUACGUAGGGUGCGAGCGUUAAUCGGAAUUACUGGGCGUAAAGCGGGCGCAGGCGGUUAUGCAAGACAGGUGUGAAAUCCCCGGGCUCAACCUGGGAACUGCACUUGUGACUGCAUGACGAGAGUGCGUCAGAGGGAGGUGGAAUUCCGCGUGUAGCAGUGAAAUGCGUAGAGAUGCGGAGGAACACCGAUGGCGAAGGCAGCCUCCUGGGAUGACACUGACGCUCAUGCACGAAAGCGUGGGGAGCAAACA